rnacentral:lncRNA from 1 species
UUAAAUUUAUGGAUCAAGUUCAUGCCCAGUACAUAUUCAACGUUAUGACAAUGCUGACCUUAUGAAGGUGGUCGAAUGGCUGAGAGUUGAGAUUUUUCCGUCCAUGGAUGUAUUUUGGGGAUUGAGCCUUGAAAUGAAAAAAAAAAAAUCAUAUUACAAUUGGGAGUGCUUCCAUGAACCUUAUGGGUCUAAAGUUAAUGAACUAAUAGGUUCGAAUAUAUCAUAAGAGUUUUGCGGAAUUAUUAUUAAGGAGAUAGAAUGUGCCAUGAGGAAAUAUAAUGUUGAUACUAAUUGAUGAGGAUUUCUUGUAACUUGCAAACUUAUGGCAAAUUAGCCAAGGAUUGAUUGUUCAACUAAGAUGUGAAAGAAGGCCUCUUAACAUUUUUCUGAAUUAUUAUCAAUUGAUUUACCAGGAGGAUUCAGCUACUUUCAGGGUCAAUUUUCAAAGACAGAUAACUGUUGCAUGCAUAUAAAUGAAUUAAUUAGCUUAUGUCCAAAUCAAAUCUACCUCUAAUAAUUGAAUUCCCAGAAAACUCUAAACGUACUCCUUAUAAUUGAGAUUUGAGAGGUUGAACAUCAUCACUUAGUGUAGUUUCAAUAGUAUCAAAACUAUUAAGGAUCUCUCAUUGUUUGGAAGAAAACUGUUUCUUGCUAUUGCAAAUGUUUUUCCAUGGCUGCAAAGUUCAUUUUUGGUCACUAAAAAUGAACUUUUUGGGGAAGCUUAAAAUAGCAAAGUGGUCAGAGUUAAUUUUGAAAUGGUCGAUCGGCCAAUUCAUUUACCAAAACUUUGCAGGUCGUCAUUACCUGAAUGUUUGGCUAUUUCUCCAUUUCACUUUUAAUCAUAUAGGUAAUUAUAAUCUCUUUUUCUCUACACUGUAUAAUUUUUCCUUUAAAUAAAUAGCGACAAACAUACUUUUUAUUAUAGACUUCAAAUAGGGAAAAUUACAUCAUAGACUUCAAAUAAGAAAAACGAAAUACUCCAAAUAAAAAAAAUACGAUAAGACUCCAAAUACCAAAAACAAAAAAAAACUUAAAAAGAGCAGUACCAGCAUAUUACUUAUUGACUCAAGAAACGAUUAAACGAAAUGAGGAAAAUGCUGCGUAACAGAUUGUGGUGUGCUGAGAUGAACCCUCCCUUUCAUUGCGUUGGACAUGAGUUCAUACAGGGGGGGCUUGAUUUCCAAAUCAAACACCAAUUAAUUAAUAGAGAGGAAGCACCAAAAUAUACGUACUGCAACAAGCUUUUUCAUAGUUUCCAAAUCAGCAUUAUUCACAACCAGCCUGAUGCCUGAAAUCUUAGGGACUGGGUAUUUGAAAUUUGCGACAUCGGUGCAGUCUUCUCUUCAUACACCUGUUCCGAUAGGAACAUGACCUUUUCAUCUACUUCAAAAGACUCUCCAUUGGACCGACAGAACUAACUCUAAUUAUGCAAUUUUACAUUAAAAAAAAAAAAAAGAAGAAGAGUGCAGUAUAUACA